rnacentral:rRNA from 1 species
UACAGAGGUCCCAAGCGUUGUUCGGAUUCACUGGGCGUAAAGGGUGCGUAGGUGGUGAGGUAAGUCGGAUGUGAAAUCUCCGAGCUCAACUCGGAAAUGGCAUUGGAAACUACCUUGCUCGAGGGUUGGAGGGGGGACUGGAAUGCUUGGUGUAGCAGUGAAAUGCGUAGAUAUCAAGCGGAACACCAGUGGCGAAGGCGGGUCUCUGGACAGUUCCUGACGCUGAAGCACGAAGGCCAGGGGAGCAAACGGG